AUCUCUUCAUAUAAGCAAAGACGCCUCCUA
rnacentral:piRNA from 1 species